AAUGUACUUGUACUUUUUUCAUUGUUGGAGGCAGGGUCCAAGAAACAAGAAACGGAACAAUGGUUUGAUUUCAAUCAAAAAAUGCCUCUCUGUCUUGUGAAAAACACUGCACUUCUUCUUCCACUUGGUAUUCAAACAAUUUCAUCCGCCAAAAUGCGAAGAACGCGAAGUUCCCUCAAGCAAGAAACCCCUUUUGAGAAAAGCCCAGGUUCUCAAGGCUCAGGUGGAAGCUCAGUUCCUGAACUUCGUGUUUUCGUCCGAAAAAAGAGAGUUAAAAAGACUCUGGAAGUCAUAGCUAAAGAGGUCAAAGAAGAAUCUUCUGGGAAAAAAUUUGUUAGACUGCCUGAUAUAGAGGAUUUUGCCUAUUCAAAGAACGAUACAUAUUCCAAAUCAAAACCUGCCAAAACUACGUGUUUGACAGGAGAAAAAGCUCUAUCCCAGUUGACACAAACAGAAAUCAAAGGCGUCAGUCUAUCUGAUCCAGUACGACCACCUUCGAACUGGGAAAAAGUCCUUGAAGGAAUCCGCAAGAUGAGAUCCUCAGAGGAUGCACCUGUAGACUCCAUGGGUUGUGAGAAAGCUGGGAGUUCACUUCCUCCCAAGGAAAGAAGAUUUGCGGUCCUUGUAUCAUCACUCUUGUCAAGCCAGACGAAAGAUCAAGUUAAUCAUGGAGCUAUUCAGCGUCUCCUUCAAAAUGGCUUGCUUGCUGCAGAUACCAUUGACAUGGCAAAUGAAGAAACAAUCAAGAGUUUGAUAUAUCCAGUAGGGUUUUACACGCGAAAGGCUAGCAACCUGAAAAAAGUAGCAAAAAUUUGUCUUUCUAAAUACGACGGGGACAUCCCUAGUACUCUGGAAGAAUUGCUUCUGCUCCCUGGAAUUGGUCCCAAGAUGGCUCAUCUAGUUAUGAAUGUUGCAUGGGACAACGUUCAAGGGAUAUGUGUAGAUACUCAUGUGCAUCGUAUUUCUAAUCGGCUUGGAUGGGUAUCACGUCCCGGAACAAAGCAGAGAACUAGAACCCCUGAGGAGACUAGGGAGUCCUUGCAACUUUGGCUUCCGAAGGAAGAAUGGGUACCAAUCAAUCCUCUCUUGGUAGGUUUUGGACAGACCAUAUGUACUCCUUUGAGACCACGUUGUGCACUCUGUUCAGUAAGUGAUCUAUGCCCCUCCGCAUUCAAAGAGGCGUCCAGCCCAUCUUCCACUCCCAAAAAGUGACACUUGAUGGAACUUCAACAAGUUUGGUGGUGAGGGCACAGUUUUUUGAAUCAUUUCUCCCAUAACAUUGUCAUUUUUAACUUGAGCUAUAGAAGAUUCUGUGCUCGUAGCUCAUAUUUUUUGUCGGCCUUGUAAACAUCCAUGAUUUUUCUCUCUUUGAUGGGCUAGAAAGAAAAAGUCAUUGGUUUUGUUCGUUGGGAGAAUGUGGAUAAGUUGAAAAACUGGCAAACUACAUAUUGUGACAUUUAGCUCCAUUUUGUACAGUUCACUUCACUAUCCUACACUCCAUGGAGGGUGUAAGAACAUUGAUAUUAAGAGAGAGUUCUUCCAAGGGUGAGUAUCAAACUCAAAGGGCUAAAUUAGAGAACUUUGAUGAGGCCCGUCAUUCUCUUAAAGUCAUAUAUGCAAAAUUUGACUAUAGAGCAAGUUGGAUCAUAGUAUCUUCCGGACUUCAACCGAUGUUGUUUCUAUCGAAUAUCGAGAUGAUGCACCGAGGUCUUUCUAACUUCGUAUCUUGCACCUGUAAAUAUUAGAAAAGUUGUAGAAGCAUUGAAAAAGGAUGUAACGUCUGGUCAGGAUAUAGUAAUUCCACUUAGUACUUCUUUUAAAUCUUGUUGUCGUCACCUCA